CAUACACUACACAAUCAGAAGGUAUAGAGUAUACUAAGAAAGAGAUAUGGCGAGUAACUAGAACUCAACACAAUUUCCCAGUAGAUUUGUCGUUUAGGACUAAUAAAGAAUGGUCAAUGAUUUAUUACUAAAUAGCAGAAAUUACAUGACCUACUGUACACGAAGAAUGCUGUUGUGAUGAAGACGCAGUUAUUUUAGAAUGUGGAUGACUAUCUUUAUAAAACAUUAAAGUACUUCUAUGUUUGAUGUUUGAAUUCAAGUUUUUUAACUUGUUAUUUUGCAUUGCAUCUGCAUCAUUGUAAAUGAAACUUUGUAAUUUCAUCUUGUUUGUCAAAUCUGUAUAUGUUUAACAAUAAAGUUGUUUUUUAACUCAUUUUUUAAUAGAAAACUUGGAAAGUUUUUGCUGUGCAAAUUUGCAUGUUUAAUUAGUAACCAGGACCAUCACUCAUUUUGUGCUGGAAAGCUAUACAGUUGUUGCAAGGUUUUUAUGUGCUACUCUCUGUGUGUCAUUCAUACACAAAUAUUUCAUGGCAAAAGAGAACAAACUAAAGGGUGGGCCAAGAACUCAUUGUGCUGCCAUCAACUGCACACAAAGCAAACGAACUCGUCCUGAUUUAAUUUAUUUUCGGUUUCCAAAGGAUAUGGAGAGAUCAAAUGAAUGGGUAAACAAUUGUCGUCGUGAAGAUCUUUUGCGCAAAAGUGCAGAAUAUCUUUACAAGAAUUGUAAACUGUGUGCAGAUCAUUUUGAGGACUGCAUAAUCACCAGCAUGGAAAAAAAGAGAUUAAAUCCUCAGAGUAAGCCAACUCUAUUCAAAAUUCCCAAUCCUCCAUCCCAAAUUGGGAAAAAACGAAGGGCACCAUCAGGUAAAUAAGUAAUUUUUCGCAUUUUAUUUUCUAAUAGGUUUCAAGUAAUUUUAAAUAAAACAAUGAAACACUAUUUUUACAAAAAAUGAGGAAAAGAAUUCUUAAAAAGUAUUCACAUAAUUCACUUGGCAAGCUACAUAGAAUGAAGUAGAUAAAGAAACAGGGAGAACUGAAUGAUUACAAAAAAAAUUUGAUUACAGCAAAGAAAUCUCGACUUGAAGAAAUAGCCAAUGUUACAAGUUAGUUGGUGACAUG